CACCGGCGGCUCGAGUGGUAACCGUUAUUAUUGGGUCUAAAGGGUCUGUAGCCGGCCAAGUAAGUCCCUUGGGAAAUCUGGCAGCUUAACUGUCAGGCUGCUAGGGGAUACUGCUAGGCUUGGGACCGGGAGAGGUGAGAGGUACCUUGGGGGUAGGGGUGAAAUCUUGUGAUCCUCGGGGGACCACCAGUGGCGAAGGCGUCCAACUGGAACGGGUCUGACGGCAAGGGACGAAAGCUAGGGGCACGAACCGG
rnacentral:rRNA from 1 species